rnacentral:rRNA from 1 species
UGGGGAAUAUUGCACAAUGGGCGCAAGCCUGAUGCAGCCAUGCCGCGUGUGUGAAGAAGGCCUUCGGGUUGUAAAGCACUUUCAGCGGGGAGGAAGGCGGUGAGGUUAAUAACCUCAUCGAUUGACGUUACCCGCAGAAGAAGCACCGGCUAACUCCGUGCCAGCAGCCGCGGUAAUACGGAGGGUGCAAGCGUUAAUCGGAAUUACUGGGCGUAAAGCGCACGCAGGCGGGCUGUCAAGUCGGAUGUGAAAUCCUCGGGCUCAACCUGGGAACUGCAUCUGAUACUGGCAAGCUUGAGUCUCGUAGAGGGGGGUAGAAUUCCAGGUGUAGCGGUGAAAUGCGUAGAGAUCUGGAGGAAUACCGGUGGCGAAGGCGGCCCCCUGGACGAAGACUGACGCUCAGGUGCGAAAGCGUGGGGAGCAAACAGG